ensembl:lncRNA
GCUUCCUAGCGCUGUCUGACCGUAGGUACGUCACUUACGUUGUCCCUUCUCUCCGGUAUCAGGUAGGGCGACAGUUGUCAAUCGAUCUUAGUAGAAGGAACUUCUCCCGCGGUUCAUCAAAGGUUCUUGAGUCUAGCGUGACAACAUAGACCGAGAUUUGGAAGUCUGCAUCUCCAGAACAGAAGCUUUUCUCCAGCAGCUCUUACUGUGCCGGCGCGCUGAGCUACAUAUGGAGAACGCCAAGACAUAAAUCCAAACGCAGUUCUUCCCUCAAGGAGUUUCCAAUGGGAGCGAGGAUGAUGGUGAAGGUGGGGAGAGAUUCCUGCUGCAAACAGAUCCAAAGUUAUGGGAAUAUUUGACGAACAGCAGUAACUAGGAUAGAUGUCGUUAAACGGUCGCCAUAGGAGGUGACACAUGCGUUCAGCCUUGAGGGAAUCUGGGAAUUCCAGGAAGGUUAAGAAAAACGAUUUCCCUGUUUAAUCCACCAGUAUCGGCUCUGAGGUAGUCAUUUUCCAACUCCUCCACUCCAACAUACAAGACAAUACAGUCAUCUUUACAAACCAGGACCAAGACUGCCCCAAAUCGGCUCUCAAGAGAUAAUCACACUGAAACAAUUUCACUCUUCAGGCUUCGAGUAACCUCCCCAAAGGCUGAGUCGUGGAGAUCGACCUUGUCCUCUAUAAAGCCAAUCCCUUUCUUCCAGCACCGCAGCUUCUAGGCCGAAGCAGGUUGGCGGGAACUCUUGACCAGCAGUCUUGGGGUCUCUGAGGAGCAGACGCUACCCUAAGGCUGACCAGAGCAAAACAUCCUGACCAUUCCAAAGGACGACGCUAGGAGUGCCCGCAGCCAACCCUGCAGCUCUCGGCACAGCGUCCAACUAGAGGGGAUGGAGAUUAGAACCUGAGCAAUCCUGAACAAACUGUUCGGCGGCUUUCGGAACCAUCUGGUUCUCUUCGGGGAGAAAAGAGCAAGACACAAGCUAAAGAGAGGAGCAAACCCAGAAAAGCCUCUGAGAACUCCAGUCUGGACACAUCCAUUUGGACAGCUCCCGACCAAUACUCCGGCUGCUCCCUCAACUGCCCACACCUGACCCUCCGCGUGGGUCUGGGAAAGUCAGUUCCAGGGAGCCUUGGAGGUCCAAGGCACCACCAGUGUAGUGCGCCGCUAUAUCUAAGCAGAGGCGGGGAGAAGGGGUCAUAUUGGACAAAAGGAGCAACUUGUCUAUCUCGCUUCAUUUAGUCUUCAUUUGUAUACGCGUGUGUAUGGGCAGUUAGGUGGUACAGUGACACAGUGGAUAGAGUGCCGGGGCUCCCACUAGCUGUGUGACCCUGGACCAGUACAUUCCUAUUUGCCUCAGUUUCUUCUUCUGUCAAAUUGGCUGGAAAAGAAAAUGGCAAAGCACUUGGAUAUCUUUGACAAGAAAACUUCUAAAGGGGCUACAAAGACACUGGAACAACCGAACAACAAAUUUGCAUUUUGUUUUCAAAGCUGUUUGUUUCCCGAGAUAAUCCACCACAUAACCCUGUCUUCCUCCCAUCACUCACUAAUCAUUAAGGGGCCACUCUGUCGAAGAACCACCCUUUAUUUUUAAAAAAAAAGGGGGGGAGGGGAGGAAAGGACGAGUAGUUAACUCGGAAUCAGACUGAUGUUGUUUCUAGCUUCAUAUAGCUUAUAUUUUUCAGCUCAAAAUUCCCCACGGAUGUAAAAUGAGGGGAAGGAGGGAGUAGAAAGGGAGAGAAGGCUCCAGUAGAAGGUAACUUCUCAUUUGUCGUCUCUUGGGCCAAAACUCAAACACAAUCUCACUACAUUCAGUUAUCAUUGUUUUUGUGGGAAUCAAUUCUUUUGGCUUUCUACAAACCAUCUUGAGUGGCAUUUUCCUGUGUUUAUUUUACUUUAUUUUUCCAUCCUGACCAGUAUUACUGAAUUUACUUUUCCUUUGUUUGGGGCUUUCAAGUUUCCAAAUUACAUUUUAUUGCUGUUUUCAAAUCACAUUUCCCAGUAUAUUUCUCUUUUAUGUCCUCUCAGCCAUCCCAAGAAGGAGAGAGAAACAAAGUUCAACACUCACCAACCUAUAGAAAAGUCUUAAGGUUACUUGCCAUCACCACCCUUUCAACAAGACUGAAAAAGGAGGAGGGACAUAGUGAGCUAUAGAAGUAAUUUUUUACCCACUGACUAAUAAUUUUACCCCACUCUGCUUUCUUUAUUUUGCCCACUUAGUGUAUUCAGUCAAGUGGUCAUUAUGUAUAUUUUCUUGGGGCUGUUCCCCCCUCCUUUCCAUUAGUUCACACAAAUUUUUCCCAUGCCUUUCCUCACUCACCAUUUCUUUGGGUAUAGUUACUAUGCCUUACGAUUACCACAUCUGGUUUAGGGUUUCCCCAUUUGGUGGGCAUCAACUUUGCUUCCAAUUCUUUGCUAGUCAGUAAAAAAAAAAAAAAAAAGCUUUAUUUUUAUAAUAACUUUUUAUUUUUCAAUAUAUAUGCAAAGUUUCCAACAUUGACCAUUGCAAAACCUUGUGUUCCAUAGUUUUCUUCCCCCUUUCCCUAAAUAGCAAGUAAUCCAAUAUAAGUUGAACAUGUACAAUUUUUCCUAAACACAUUUCCAUAUUUAUCAUGUUGCACAAGAAAAAUCAGAUCAGAAAGGGGGAAAAGGGGGGAAAAGAAGAUGAAAAUACUUAUUGUGAUCCAUAAUUCAGUCCCCAGAGUGGUCCUUUCUGGAUACAGAUGGUUUUCUUUAUCACAAGUUAUUGGAAUGGUACUGAAUCAUCACCUCACUGUUGAAAAGAGUCAUGUCUUCACAGUUGAUCAUCACAUAACCUUGUUGUUGCUGUGUACAAUGUUCUUUUGGUUCUACUCACUUCACAGCAUCAGUUAAAGUAAGUCUAGUUUCUCCCAAGCCUUUUUGAAGUCAUCUUCUGAUUGUUUUUUUUUUUUUAAUUAAAGUUCUUUAUUUUCAAAACAUAUGUAAAGAUUUCAACAUUCAUCUUUGCAAAACCUUGUGUUCCAAAUUUUUCCCUCCCUUUCCCCAUCCCCUUCCCUAAAUGGCAAUUUUAUGGUAAAACAUGUGCAGUUCUAUACAUAUUUCCACUAUUAUCAUGCUACUCAAGAAAAAUCAAUGGAUUGUUUCUUAUAAAAUAAUAAUAUUCCAUCACACUCAUAUACCACAGUCAUUCCCCUACUGAUGGGCAUCCACUCCU